rfam:Oryza nivara chromosome 2, whole genome shotgun sequence.
AAUAAGUACAGUUUUACGUUAUUUAUGUCUAACAUUUAACUGUUUGUCUUAUUUGAAAUUUUUUUAUGAUUACUAUUUCAUAAUUUUAUUGUUAUUAGAUAAUAAAAUAUGAAUAGUACUUUAUGUGUGACUAUUUUUUUAUUUUUUUCAUAAAUUUUUCAAAUAAGACGGAUGGUUAAACGUUGGAGGUAGUACAUGCUCGCACAGAUG